ensembl:lncRNA
UAAUUAAAGCUAAUGUGGAGCGCCAGCAGGUAGCCUAGUGGUUAGAGUGUAGGGUUAGCAGGUAGCCUAGUGGUUAGAGUGUAGGGUUAGCAGGUAGCCUAGUGGUUAGAGUGUGGUUAGAGUGUAGCGUCAGCAGGUAGCCUAGUGGUUAGAGUGUAGGGUCAGCAGGUAGCCUAGUGGUUAGAGUGUAGGGUUAGCAGGUAGCCUAGUGGUUAGAGUGUAGGGUCAGCAGGUAGCCUAGUGGUUAGAGUGUAGGGUCAGCAGGUAGCCUAGUGGUUAGAGUGUAGGGUCGGGAGGUAGCCUAGUGGUUAGAGUGUAGGGUCAGCAGGUAGCUUAGUGGUUAGAGUGUAGGGGCGGCAGGAAGCCUAGUGGUUAGAGUGUAGGGGAGACAGGUAGCCUAGUGGUUAGAGUGUAGGGGCGGCAGGUAGCCUAGUGGUUAGAGUGUAGGGUCGGCAGGUAGCCUAGUGUUUAGAGUGUAGGGUCGGCAGGUAGCUUAGUGGUUAGAGUGCAGGGACGGCAGGUAGCCUAGUGGUUAGAGUGUAGGGUCGGCAGGUAGCCUAGUGGUUAGUCAUCCCUACCGCCUCUAUCAAUAUAACAUGUUGUCAUCCCUACCACCUCUAUCAAUAUAACAUGUUGUCAUCC